UCCAUAGAGGUCCAGUGGUUAGGAUCCCGUGCUUUCACUGUCGAGGGCCCAGGUUCAAUCCCUGGCUGGGGAA
rnacentral:tRNA from 1 species